rnacentral:rRNA from 1 species
GACGUAGGGCGCGAGCGUUGUCCGGAUUUAUUGGGCGUAAAGAGCUCGUAGGCGGCUUGUCGCGUCGUCUGUGAAAUCCCGCGGCUCAACCGCGGGUCUGCAGUCGAUACGGGCAGGCUAGAGUUCGGUAGGGGAGACUGGAAUUCCUGGUGUAGCGGUGAAAUGCGCAGAUAUCAGGAGGAACACCGGUGGCGAAGGCGGGUCUCUGGGCCGAUAUCGACGCUGAGGCGCGAAAGCGUGGGGAGCAAACAGG